UUAUUUGACAGCUCAGUUGUUGUUUAUAAGAAGAAACUUGCACAGAGAGAGAAACAAGAUCACGGAAAUGACACUGACACACAGGAAAAAGAGAAUGAUGGCGUGACCACGCCACUAAUCUAUUACUGAUGGGGAUACUCAAGGCAAUAG
rnacentral:sRNA from 1 species